rnacentral:rRNA from 1 species
AGAGUUUGAUCAUGGCUCAGGAUGAACGCUGGCGGCGUGCUUGACCCAUGUAAGUCGAACGGAUCGGUUUCCCUUGAAGGUUCUGGAGGGGGCGGCGCAUGAGAAAUCGUGCAAGGUCUCGGAAGGGGCUGGGGAGGGAGUUGCCGGUCAGUGGCGGACGGGUGAGUAACACGUAGGUAAUCUGCCCUGAAGUGGGGAAUAACUGUUCGAAAGAGCAGCUAAUACCGCAUGUGGUCCGGCCGAAGGGUCGGAAGAAAGGGAGCAAUCCCGCUUUAGGAUGAGCCUGCGGCCGAUUAGCUAGUUGGUGGGGUAAUGGCCCACCAAGGCGAUGAUCGGUAGCUGGUCUGAGAGGACGAUCAGCCACACUGGAACUGCGACACGGUCCAGACUCCUACGGGAGGCAGCAGGGGGGAAUAUUGGACAAUGGGGGCAACCCUGAUCCAGCAACGCCGCGUGAGCGAAGAAGGCCUUCGGGUCGUAAAGCUCUUUUCUGAGGGAAGAGGCAGGACGGUACCUCAGGAAUAAGUCUCGGCUAACUACGUGCCAGCAGCCGCGGUAAAACGUAGGAGGCGAGCGUUAUCCGGAUUUACUGGGCGUAAAGGGCAAGUAGGCGGUGGCCAAAGUUGGGCGUGACAUCUCCCGGCUCAACUGGGAGGGGUCGUUCAAAACUAGGUCACUUGAGGGCAGGAGAGGGAAGCGGAAUUCCUAGUGUAGCGGUGGAAUGCUCAGAUAUUAGGAAGAACACCAGUGGCGAAGGCGGCUUCCUGGCCUGCACCUGACGCUGAGAGGCGAAAGCUAGGGGAGCGAACGGGCUUAGAUACCCCGGUAGUCCUAGCUGUAAACUUUGGAUACUGGGUA